CCUACGGGUUGCACCAGUGGGGAAUCUUAGACAAUGGGGGCAACCCUGAUCUAGCCAUGCCGCGUGAGUGAUGAAGGUCUUAGGGUUGUAAAGCUCUUUCAGCCGGGAAGAUAAUGACGGUACCAGCAGAAGAAGCCCCGGCUAACUCCGUGCCAGCAGCCGCGGUAAUACGGAGGGGGCUAGCGUUGUUCGGAAUUACUGGGCGUAAAGCGCACGUAGGCGGACUGGAAAGUUGGGGGUGAAAUCCCGGGGCUCAACCUCGGAACUGCCUUCAAAACUAUCAGUCUGGAGCUCGAGAGAGGUGAGUGGAAUUCCGAGUGUAGAGGUGAAAUUCGUAGAUAUUCGGAGGAACACCAGUGGCGAAGGCGGCUCACUGGCUCGAUACUGACGCUGAGGUGCGAAAGCGUGGGGAGCAAACAGGAUUAGAUACCCCUGUAGUC
rnacentral:rRNA from 1 species